rnacentral:misc_RNA from 1 species
GAAGUAAAAGUUGUAACAAGGUUUCCGUAGGUGAACCUGCGGAAGGAUCAUUCAUAAUAAGUGUUUUAUGGCACUUUUUUAAAUCCAUAUCCACCUUGUGUGCAAUGUCAGGGUUGAUUUUUCUCUCGAGAGGAUCAACCCCAAACAUCAACUAUAUCUCAACUCUUUGUCUGAAAAAUAUUAUGAAUAAAACAAUUCAAAAUACAACUUUCAACAACGGAUCUCUUGGCUCUC